rnacentral:rRNA from 2 species
AGUUACCCGCAUUCAAGCACUACCGCCUGAGGGUGUACCGGAUGCAAGGCGAAACUCAAAGGUAAUUGCCGGGGGGCUCCGCACAAGCGGUGGAGCAUGUGGUUUAAUUUGAAGCAACGCGAAGAACCUUACCAGGUCUUGACAUCCUCUGAAAACCCUAGAGAUAGGGCUUCUCCUUCGGGAGCAGAGUGACAGGUGGUGCAUGGUUGUCGUCAGCUCGUGUCGUGAGAUGUUGGGUUAAGUCCCGCAACGAGCGCAACCCUUGAUCUUAGUUGCCAUCAUUAAGUUGGGCACUCUAAGGUGACUGCCGGUGACAAACCGGAGGAAGGUGGGGAUGACGUCAAAUCAUCAUGCCCCUUAUGACCUGGGCUACACACGUGCUACAAUGGACGGUACAAAGAGCUGCAAGACCGCGAGGUGGAGCUAAUCUCAUAAAACCGUUCUCAGUUCGGAUUGUAGGCUGCAACUCGCCUACAUGAAGCCGGAAUCGCUAGUAAUCGCGGAUCAGCAUGCCGCGGUGAAUACGUUCCCGUGAGAUAACACCCCGCCUCACGAAACGGAAGAGUUGCUAACCCCCGAAGUCGGUGGGGUUACCUUUGAAGAGCCUAGCACAGCGGUUGUCGAGGCAACGAGCACGAGUUGAGCG